rnacentral:rRNA from 1 species
UACGGAGGGGGCUAGCGUUGUUCGGAAUUACUGGGCGUAAAGCGCGCGUAGGCGGACCUGCAAGUCGGGGGUGAAAGCCCGAGGCUCAACCUCGGAACUGCCUUCGAUACUGCGGGUCUCGAGUCCGGGAGAGGUGAGUGGAAUUCCUAGUGUAGAGGUGAAAAUUCGUAGAUAUUCGGAAGAACACCAGUGGCGAAGGCGGCUCACUGGCCCGGUACUGACGCUGAGGCGCGAAGGCGUGGGGAGCGAACGGGG